rnacentral:rRNA from 1 species
GGUGAACCUGCGGAAGGAUCAUUGUCGAAGUCGAACGGAAGGACGACCCGCGAACCGUCAAUGC